rnacentral:rRNA from 1 species
GACGAACGCUGGCGGCGUGCCUAAUACAUGCAAGUUGAGCGCUGAAGGUUGGUUCUUGUACCAACUGGAUGAGCAGCGCACGGGUGAGUAACGCGUGUGGAAUCUGCCUUUUAGCGGGGGACAACAUUUGGAAACUAAUGCUAAUACCGCAUAAAAACUUUAAACACAAUUUUUAAGUUUGAAAGAUGCAAUUUCUUCACUCAAAGAUGAUCCCGCGUUGUAUUAGCUAGUUGGUGAGGUAAAGGCUCACCAAGGCGAUGAUACAUAGCCGACCUGAGAGGGUGAUCGGCCAAAAUGGGAAGGAGAAAAGGGCAAAAAUAAUAAGGGAGGCAGCAGUAGGGAAAGUUAGGGAAAGGAAGAAAGUCAGACCGAGAAAAGCCGCGUGAGUGAAGAAGGAUUUAGGAUCGUAAAACACUGUUGGUAGAGAAGAAAGAUGGGGAGAGUGGAAAGCUCAUAAAGUGACGGUAACUAGACAGAAAGGGACGGCUAACUACGUG